UUGUAGUCUGCAACCCGACUACAUGAAGCUGGAAUCGCUAGUAAUCGCGGAUCAGAAUGCCGCGGUGAAUACGUUCCCGGGUCUUGUACACACCGCCCGUCACACCAUGGGAGUCGGAAAUGCCCGAAGUCUGUGACCCAACCUACGGGAGGGAGCAGCCGAAGGCAGGUCGGAUGACUGGGUGAAGUCGUAACAAGGUAGC
rnacentral:rRNA from 1 species